UACGUAGGCAGCAAGCGUUGUUCGGAGUUACUGGGCGUAAAGGGUGUGUAGGCGGUUGUUUAAGUUUGGUGUGAAAUCUCCCGGCUCAACCGGGAGGGUGCGCCGAAUACUGAAUGACUAGAGUGCGGGAGAGGAAAGUGGAAUUCCUGGUGUAGCGGUGAAAUGCGUAGAUAUCAGGAGGAACACCGGUGGUGUAGACGGCUUUCCGGACCGUAACUGACGCUGAGACACGAAAGCGUGGGUAGCAAACAGG
rnacentral:rRNA from 1 species